rnacentral:rRNA from 1 species
GUCCUCAUGAAAAUAAUUUGAGGUCUGACCUGCCCACUGAAUUGAAGAAUUUGAAGGGCCGCGGUAUUUUGACCGUGCAAAGGUAGCAUAAUCAUUAGUCUUUUAAUUGAAGGCUGGAAUGAAUGGUUGGACGAGGUAUUGACUGUCUCAAUGUAAUUGUUAUUAGAAUUUAACUUUUAGGUCAAAAGGCUUAAAUACGUUUAAAGGACGAGAAGACCCUAUAGAGCUUUAUAUUUAAUAAUUAUUUCUAAUUUAGAUGAAUUUUAGUAAUAGUUAAUGAAAUAUUUUGUUGGGGUGACAGGAAGAUAAAAUAAACUCUUUUUAAGUUUAAACAUUAAUUUAUGAAUAAUUGAUCCAUUAUUAGUGAUUAUAAGACUAAGUUACCUUAGGGAUAACAGCGUAAUCUUUUUUGAGAGUUCAUAUCGACAAAAGGGGUUGCGACCUCGAUGUUGGAUUAAGGGUAAUUUUGGGUGUAGAUGUUCAAAGUUUAGGUCUGUUCGACCUUUAGAUCCUUACGUGAUC